rnacentral:tRNA from 1 species
AUUGGGGUGACUGAUUAAAGUAUUAAAUUGUAAAUUUAUAAAUGAAUUUUAUUUCUCUCAAUA